ACUUAGUUAUUUUUCCUACUUGUUCAUCGUUCUCUCUCUCUCACUCUUGCCUGAAACUCUAGCCCUCUCCUCCUUCCUCUCCCGUUCUCUUUCCACGGCCACCAUCGCCUUCCUCUUCGCUCACUCCCGCUACUAUCUCUCUCCCUCAUUAACCACCUCCACCCCCUCGUCGGCGCUAUCACCUCCACCCGCAAGCUCUCUCUCUCUCUCUCUCUCUCGCUCUCGAGCUCUCUAAGAUCUCAGAAGAUUUCAAUCUGGCAAAGCAUCCUCUACAACAGGUUUCAAUAUGAAUUAAUCGCGUUAAUGAUGGGUGGAGAUUUGGGGAUGCCAUCGUUCCUUGAAGAAGACUGCGUUCUUCAAGAGUGAGAUUUGGAGGAGGUUGUUUGUGACAGCAGUACUGAUUGUGAUUAGUCGUGUUGGUUGUUUCAUUACUCUGCCUGGGUUUGAUAGAAGGUUGAUACCUCAGGAUUAUCUCAGAUGAGCUCGACGAUUUUACAACAGAGCUUAAAAUGUCCUUGUCCCAGUUUGGAAUCAAUCCUCAAAUUAUAGCAUCGAUUAUCAUACAGGGUCAAGCAUGUGAUGCUGACAAGUAUGUUAUUGGUCUGUGGUGCGAUGACAAUGACAUGGAUAUGUGAUACCAUUACAGAAUCUGGAUUUGGUAUGAUACUUGACCUUUUGGUUACUUGGUUAGCAGCAAUAUGGUUUUGCUCAUAUGGUUUUGAGUCUCGUAUUGACUUUCCACUUGAUGUAAUCUGAAUUGUAAUUCGCUAUCUGACAAAGUAUUAGUUUCCAUACCCUUUGAUCUAAUUUUGCGAAAAGGAUCUUCACGGUUGCAUGAAUUUGCUUUUGAAACCUGCAUGACUAUGUCAUUAAGCUAUAUGUGCAAUUUCAGCUUUUGGUAUGUGGUUUAGGAUUUCUAUUCAAUGAAACAGCAUGCAUUUCUGUGGCAUGUUGGGGAAACAACAGCGGCCACCCAUGGACUAAUAUAUAUGACAUAGACAAGUUAUGUGCUGCCCCCGCAUUGCGAAUAUGAAAAUGAUUACAUGUAUUGGACAGCAUUUCGGAGCUCUAACAUUCUUUUGAUUUUCCAUUUGCCAGGUUUGUGGGGAAGAUAUGUAGAAAUUUGAGAGAGCAGAAAUCGUAUGUACGCUGCUGUUGGUUGUCCUUGGUGUUGCUGCACUAAGUGAUCUCAUCAAAGAGGAGUGGAAAAACUUAUACCAUGAAACCAUUGCCUCUAAAAGCAUCACGGGACAUCUUGAGGUUGAUGCACCAUACUUACCGCAGUUAGGGAUUUCAGUUGUUUGUAAGCUUCUUUGAAAUAUAUGGAGGAAAACUUUUUGAUCUCCUCAAUGAGCGCAAAAAGCUUUGCAUGAGAGAAGAUGGUAAGCAACAAGUUUGUAUUGUGGGUUUGCAAGAAUACAAAGUGUCUGAUGUAGAGACAAUUAAAGAGCUCAUUGAGAAAGGAAGUGCCACAAGAUGUAUUGGUACCACUGGUGCAUAUGAAGAAUCCUCUCGCUCACAUGCCAUACUUCAGCUUGCUAUCAAAAGGGCAGUUGAUGACAAUGUAUCAAAGCCUCCCUGUCUUGUUGGUAAACUCUCCUCAUUCACUAACUAUUAAAUCAAAUGCAAACUCAAAUAGUCAAUACUUGUAGAUGUUGAAUAGAGAGAGUGUGGGCAUUUCUUUUGGUUUCCACACUCUAGGAUAUCCUAAUAAACUUAAAUUUUCUUCUUCACCUGUAGUAGCUGUACUUUUCAUUCUACAAGAUCACCUUAUGUCCUUGAUAAUUCCAGUAUGAAAGAAUGAGUAGCACAAACAGUACUAGAAUUUUGCUCAACAGAUCCAUGGGCCAUUUCUCGUUGUUGUACCAUUAUCUACUUUGGCUCGAUUAAUCUAUCUGUGCCUAGUUUUUUUUAUAGUAACUUGUUCAGCAUUGUUGACCUUUGGCUCGAUUAAUCAUAAUUAAGGACUUAAAUAUCCCAGAAAGGUAUAGUUAAGUUAACCAACAGAUUGUGUUAUGGAUGCUAGGAUACGAAUGUCUUGUAAGCUCAAUGUCUUUUUGCCUUUCCCUUUUCCUUUCCUUUCUUUCCUUCUGUUUUUCUUGUUAUAGCUAAUUGUUCA